GUAAAGGUCCAUUUUGUGAAGUCAACAUUCUGCAAGGAAAAUACUCUCUGGAGAAUCUGGAUGAUGAUGUAGCGAAGGAUCUUGUCGAGUGGAUGAUCAAUGAACAUCCAAACAACAGACCAACUGUGGAGCAAACCCUUGAACACCCCUUCUUCUGGACUAAUGAACGGAGAGUGGAAUAUUUGAAAAAGAUGGGGAACCAGAAGGAGACCGAGAACUGUCGUAAUGUUGAUGAGGAGCUCCUUCAAACUGUUGAAAAAUACACCGAGGGGAAAAGCUUUUCUGAAUGGAAAACUAAAUUGCCAUCUGAGCUCAUCCAGAAAUUAGAUGGUAAGAAGAAAGGCUAUCCUGAGAACAUGCUGGGCCUGCUGCGUUUUAUACGCAACCUACACGAGCAUUAGUGAGUUACAUGUAAUAUCAUGCAACAAUGGUUCUUUGUGGAACCAAAAAUGGUUCUGCUAUGGCAUCGCUG
rnacentral:lncRNA from 1 species